GCUCGCAGAAAGACACGCUUUUCUUUUCCUGCUGCUGAGAAAGGUCAGCUCUUCUCCCCUCUAUGUAGUAAAGGGCCCGGAGUCCUCCACCAUGCACAGACCCGGGAUGGAGGAAAGAGAGGAACCUGCCAGUCUCCCCUGCUGAGCGUUUCUGGCUCCACCUUGAGGGGAAACCACUAGUUUAUUUAAAUGAUUUGCACUUAAAGAAAAGGAGAACAUAUAAGACCCAGAGCCCUUUAGCCGAUGCUUUCUGCAAUGGCAGUAGCUUUAUUGUGUGUUCUGCUUUUUAAAGACUCAGUGUCGAAUUACUCAAUGCACAUCGAUGGACUUUGAAUUUCACGGAAGAGGGGCCUUCUUGAGAGGAAAUUAGAAAUGAGGGACUCUUUGUCCUGGAAUGUUCCAUCCAUGUUACUCAGCCGUUUGCUGGUAGAAAGGAGAAGUCCCCUCCAAGGUUCUGUGCGUGACGAGGCAGAGCAGCCAGAGAAUGGAGGUGUUCUAUCUACUUGUUCCGUAUGCUCAUCUUCAACAGUUCCUGCUUCAGCUCGCUUUCCAGUUUUGUACCAAGUGUUUCUGAGCCAUGACGGACAUCCUUCUAGUCUGUCAUGAUGAACACCGUGCUCUUUGUUGGGACUUUUCUCUUCAGAGCUGUUGCUCUCCCAGGCCCCGCACCUUGUAGAUUGCUGCCAAAAUUUAUUCUCAAUAAAGAAUCUGCUUAAAACUAUGAA